AUAAAAAAACCCUGCAAUCACUUGAUUGCAGGGUCCUUCUAUAGCAAGAUUAACAUUCCCGUAUGUUUGUUAAUCAAGAUAAGAAGGCAAAGGGAGAGGAGAAACCGGAGGAAGAACUUAUGGGGAACGUAAGUCUUCUCCGCGG
rfam:Bacillus endophyticus strain Hbe603, complete genome.